CCUCUCUCGGGACGGCGGUUGUGGUGGCGAUGGGUCGGUGCCGGACGGGUUCCGCGGCUCCUCAUCAACUCCGCCCGCUCCUGCCGCUGAAGGCGGAAGGGCCGUCCGGUGAGUGGGCUGACUGGGAUGGGAUGGCUCGGCUCCUUCAACCUAACUUCUUGGCUGUGCGGAUGUGUCGCGGAGAGAGGCCGUGAUAGAGUCGGAUGGGACCGAGUAGAGCCGCUCUCAUGCUCUCGGGUCUCUGUGUCUGCUUCCUCGGGAGAUGGCGCUGCUGCGACGGAGAGAGGCCCGAGCACUCCCCUCCACGUGGUCGACCCAGGCUCGGUUUGCAGAAUACUUCUGAUUGAAAAGUCAUAAAUCGUGAACAGCCAGUGUCCUAUUGAAACGUUGCACUACACGGACUAAAGACUACUUAACCACUGAAGAAGAUUAUUUCAUAGGGCUAUCUUGAGUGGAUCAUCGUUAAAAGUCCCUUGAUGUUGGCAAUGAAACUGCAGAAGGCUCCAGGCUGGACAUGUUUGAAAUUCAUGCUUGGUCACAAGCCUAAUACUUGAUGCUAUUCAUGACUUGUGUAUCCCUCAACAUUUUAUUUGUAUGUAUUCUGUUCAAUGUAAUCUAGAAUAUGUUGAACUUUAUUAUUUACAGGUGUCGGUGUAAUUAUCUUAAAUUUGUAUAUUUUGGUAACUGAAAAGCAUAGCUGGUAAUUAAUCAAAAGCAGUGAAAAUUUCUUGAAGUAGCAAAUAUUUUCCUUUACCUCCAUUGAAAAUUUCUAUGUAUUAAAUGUUUUGCUAGGAACUGGUGCAUUGGUUAGUUUCUGCAGUGGAAUAUUCCUAAAAGUCAUAGCAUGAUUUUUGAGAAGGCAGUUUUGAGCACUUUUUUCAAGCAAUUAUUGUCUUAUAAGUUGCAUAAUUGUGUCAGAAUAAUGACAUUGCCAAUAAAGGCUAUAAGUAGAUCAAGACUAUAAACUAUGGUCUAAUAGUUGUGUAUGCUGUGAUGAAUCAUUCAGAGCUUGUCUGGCCAGUGUUGGGUAGUGAUAAUAUUCUAACUUAUUUUUUCCUUGGUCUAUGAAAGCAGGCAACAAAAUCCAUGUAUACCUACACUUUUGGAGGGUAUUGUGUAUUUGAAUCCAGAGAUGCCUCUAUUUGUAUUUCUUAGUACUCUAUCAUUUUGUUAUAAAUGUCUUAGCCCUA